CCCUUAGAUGUUCUGGGCUGCACGCGUGCUACACUGAUAUUGCCAAUAUGUCAUUCUUAUCCGAAAUGGAUUGGGUAAUCAAGUAAUGAAAUUUCAUGCUUGGAAUCGGUAAUUGCAAUUUUAUCGUGAACGAGGAAUUCCUAGUAAGCACUAGUCAUCAGCUAAUGUUGAUUAUGUCCCUGCCCUUUGUACACACCGCCCGUCGCUACUACUGAUUGGGUGUUCAAGUGAGAUGCUUAGACCCUUGUUGCAUGGUUCAUUAUUGUGCUCCGAAAGGAAAAAGUUUCAAGCUUGAAUGUCUAGAGGAAGUAAAAGUCGUAACA
rnacentral:rRNA from 1 species